GACAGAGGCCUCAAGCGUUAGGCGGAAUCACUGGGCUUAAAGCGUGUGUAGGCGGAUCGUUAAGUACCUUGUGAAUCCCACGGCUUAACCGUGGACUGCUUGGUAUACUGGCGGUCUUGAGCCGCUAGGGGGCUACCGGAACAAAUGGGUGGAGCGGUGAAAUGCGUAGAUAUCAUUUGGAACGCCAAUGGUGAAAACAGGUAGCUGGGGCUGUGCUGCGUGAGACACGAAAGCCAGGGGAGCAAACGGG
rnacentral:rRNA from 1 species